CACAAAAGCAGACUUGGUUCCACUACACAGACAGACAAGAGAGUAAGUCAUCGCAUUAUACAAUUCAAGUGACCAGCUGUUUCAAAUGACACUAGGAGAGAAUAUUUUAAGUACACUCAAAAUGCUAGAAAUGACUUUGCAGCUUGCUUUUACUGUAAAAUUUGGGUGGCAGUCUUAAAUUUUAGGAACCAAGAUUUCUUUCUCCUUUUGAGCACUUAUUACACUCAACAAUGUUUAACAGCAAAGAAAAUUACUAUUUCUAUUUGUACCAAAAGAGAGACAUCAAUAUGUUCACCAAUCCCAUCUUUGAUGAAUUUAAGUUUCUAAUAAAUCAUACAAAAAAUUGAGAACUAUAAAGCAGCUUCACACAAAAUCUGAAAAGACGGAACCACACAAACUUAUGAUCAAACAUAAAAAAUCAGAAACAGAAUUUUAAAAUUGGUAAUGAUUGUCGUUAUGCUUUUUUAAAAUUACCUUAAACUAUGGAGAAAUUCGUAACUGCUAAACAAUUGCUAGAGAAAUUGGCAUAGAUUUGGACAUAGGGGGAGAGAGAAUAAGGGAGGGAGAGAGCAAACAUGAAAAGUGAGUAGGAGAAUAUGCAAGAGAGUUGGUCCUGCCUGAUGCCUCAUGAAGGAGGGAACAUAUUGUGGUAAAACUCUAUUUACAACAUAAAAGUUACCUCUUAAAUUUGGAAUUAUCUGUUCUAGCAGAUAGGGGGUCAUCAAAAGAUGUGUAAAAUUUUUCUUGCGUCUACCUGCAGCGCUCAACAUCAUCCAAGUGCACCCAUGCAUGACAUUCUUUUGUUAAUUAUUUCAAUAUUCCUUCAGCCAAUUGAUCCCCAUUAAUCUAAAUUAGUAGUUAAAUGAAUAUAUCAAGACAAGUUUAGUUGGGUACAGCUGGGUUCAGUUAGUUAUUUGAUUAAUAAAUACAAUGUCAAAUGUGCCAAUGUUUAGGAUUAGCAUUAACCUUUAUUGAAUGGAUAUCAGAACCAAUAAAUGAGGGACGAACAGAUUAAGGAAAAUCCAACCCACUUUGACCCCCAGCCAUAGCCCCAUUUUCCAUGCUUCACUGAUUAAACAACAAUAGCAACAAAUUCUAAUACUCAAUUAUGAUACACUUAAUUUUGAUGGUUCUCAUACCACCUGGUCAUAAUUUCAGCACUUAAUGAAGUUCUAGUGUAGAUCCCACUAAUAUCAGAGCCCAUUCUCAUAUUUUUAACUGGUGCAUGUCACUGACCUGCCAAGUUCUAAGCCACCUUUA
rnacentral:misc_RNA from 1 species